GCCUGGAAAUGAGAAUGGGAAUAACCUUUGAAAUGUAAAUGAGAAAUACCCAAUUUAAUUUAGAUGGAAGAAAAAGAAGAAAAGGGAAAAAAAGAUUCUCAAGGUAGAUCUGCAACAGCACCAUUGCGAUCCUAGGGAACAUCACCAUCCCUUAGAUUUGCAGAAAGCUGUUUCAUCUACGUGGAAGGGACCAGAUGUUCUUCUCUCCUCCGCAAGGGGGCAUGCAUGUGUCUUUCCACAGGAUGCCGAGUCACCAGUCUGGAUUCCGGACCGCCUCAUCAGAUCAUACAAUCCCAGGGCAGAAAAGCAGAAAGUCUCCCCUCAACAACCGACAGCGAAAGAUGAGAGCGGAGCGUGCCUCAUUCCUGAUGACGCCAGACAGCUCUGAGCAGCGCCUCACUUCUGCUUUCACCAGGCUUCAGCUGCAUGGUCGCUCAUCUACCACGCUGUUGCCAACUUGGGAUCAGCUUCAAGAAUUGGUCUCUGCUGCAAGAGAUAGCGUGCUUCCUCUCCGCCUCCCAGUUACUCCCUCCAAUCUUCUCCUGCUAUGCUUUCACUUCUCUUCACCCAGGGAAGCCAUGGGCCUGAUGUGGCUGUGCAAGCUGACUCUGCUGAGAUGAUCAAUGCUAUUCUUGACCCUGGAAGAAUUUAAGACAAGGUGACCCACAGACUCCUGGGGUAGAUUCUGCCUCUGGGUUCUAGGGUGUGACACGGUAUCCCUUGCUGUGGGUCUCUACUCAUCUGAGGAGAAUGUUCCCAUGUGUCGGCUUCUAUGGCAGUGGUUCAAAUCCCUCCUAAUGAUGUAACCCUUUAAUACAGCUCUUCAUGCUGUGGUGACCCCCACCAUAAAAUUAUUCCAUUACUACUUCAUAACUAAUAUUGCUACUCUUAUAAGUUAUAAUGUGUAAGGUAUCUUAUAUACAAUCUUUUUGAGUGGUUGCAACCCACAGGUUGAGAGACAUUGCUUUAUAUACUUUAUUUUUUUUUUUUUUUGAGAAGCCUUCAUCUAAGGAGGACCUGAUGCAGGUGUGAGAGCAGAGACACCCUGACGCAGUGACAAGUUUAGGAGGCCCAAGUCUGCUUGCCUUAAUGGCAACAGAGAUUCCUGUCUGAAGGCACAAUCUGAAAUCACCGUCCCCAGGGCAUUUCUUACCUCAGUUUUCCCUCAUUAAAAUGUGUGUCUGCUUGGCCAUGUCUGUCCAGGAAGCCAGUCCCUGUCGUCUCUAAUACAGACAGAAUGGUAAAGAAAGGUGCUUCCUACACAAGAAGUCACAUGACCAGAGAGUGUCACUUGUCAAAGAACCAAGAACUUGUUCAAAACUCUGCAUAGGAUCCAAUCUAUCACAUGGAUAUGCAAUAAUGAGGUCUUCAUAAUAAGGAUUUGGCCUGAAGUGUGGCCUGGCCCCAAAUGAUAGAAUACAAUGAACAUCAGCAUUUAGGAAUAUAUGAACUCAGGGUGGGUCCUGUACUACCCCAGUCCUGGAAGGACACCUUCUGAAUUCUACAUAUUGGGAUCUUCUUCAGCUUCAGAAACGUGUUUUUCUGAGUCCAGGACACCAGAAUCUCAGCAUCCAGAUGGAGGGCUCCCUGGCUCCCUUUGUUCAGUCAAGAAGAAAUCUGCAGUCAAGCCAGUUAAGCUAUCAAGAGCCUUGGCCACACCUCUCCAUGCUCCCCCACCCCAACACACCCAGAAAUCUGUGAUUUCUUUUAUCCUGUUUUAAUAAAAGACCAUAUAUCAACACAAAAUUAUAAUCUGCACAACGAAUACAAAUAUACAGGCAAACGUGCUCACAUAGGCAAAGAACUGUGCUGUUGACAGUGGGGCUCCCAGAACAAAGCAUUCACAUCACCAUGAAAGUGUUACAGGUAAAUACUCAGCCCAAGACAUAGACCACUAGAUUCCAAUUGUGG
rnacentral:lncRNA from 1 species